GUUAUAGCUGUCAAUGAUGGAAAACAUUGGCGACUGAUAACAGUGAUGUCAUUCUACCUAUUUCGUCACUACCUCUGAGAUAGCUAUAGC